AGCAUCUCUCACAAGCUGAGUGACGUCAGGGUACCCUCUGCCUCCCUGGGCCUCAGUUUCCUUAUGUGAAAUAGAAGGAGUAACCCAGCCAAAGCCUCACUGAGUGGUUGGGAGGAUCUCGUGAUGGGUGAGAAGAUGCUUUGUGAACUGCAAGAUGUAGGGCCUCGCAGAGCCCAUGGGCAUAUGUAUCCUGUGGGUAGCUGUUGGCAGUUGUUCUCUUGGGAUCGGGGGAAGGGUGGUGCCAUGUCCUGUUGAACUCCUGAGAGCUGGCUGGGCAGGAGGGCUGCCCCGCUGGCUCUACCACACGCCUGGGGUCAGGGGGCCUCUCUCUCCAGGCAUCCUCUGGACCUGAGACUCAAGUUACCAUGAGGGGAUCAGUCAGCUACUAGGACUUUUGUCUGCCAGGCUCGCCCCCUCCCCAUCCACCUGGCCCUGGCCUUGAACUCAGGACUGUCAGAAUCCUCCCUUCCACAUUCACUGGGAGAGAGUGGCCCCUUCCCCUGCAAAGAGGGCACCAGGUGUCUGAGACGCAUUCUGCUUGGACCAUCUCCACCCUUGGAGGAGCGGGAUUCACGAGGCAUUUCUAUGUCCCUACUUGUAAUUCCUUCGGACAACCUUGUGAAGUAGAUAAGAUGGCAUUCAUCACUGAUGAUUCUUGCAAUUUUCAAGAUAAGACAGCUGAGCUCAUGAAAAGGGUCACGGGACUGCAUCGGGGAGCGCCAGGCCCAGGAUCCUGGCCGGCCGCAGGGGCAGGGCCUUCCCAGCAAAGCAAACACCUCCCUUCUCCCACUUUUUCCCACAAAGUGAUUGUUUUUGCCUCUUUUUUGGAGGGUGACCCAAUAACCAAUUAACAGUCCUUUGUUCUAUUUUGCCAGGGCAGGGCCCUCUCCCAGGCUGAGAGAGGCAGGGAGCAUCCCUAGGCCCUGGCGUCCCCAGCCAGCCACCCAGGACUUAGCUGUCAUUCUCUACCUUUCUGUGCUUUGCCAUUUGUUUUGUUUUCCUCUAGUUUCCUAGUAAAGGUUGCUUUUGAAAAGCUUCAACCUUGUCUCCCUGAGCAGAGGGGAGGAGUGUUUCCACUCCUGGGCGGUGGGGGAGGACGUUGUGGGGUGUGGCCCAGGGCCUGAGCCAGCCUCCUGGAGACUGGGCGGGAGACUUCAGGGGAAGACUCAGAAACAGCUGUGGGCCUGCCGGCCUCUCCCUCCCAAGCAGCUGCCUUCCCGGCCCUUGGCCAUUUGCACUUGGCGUGGGGGACUCCUGAGGAACGAGAGAUGAAAGCGCAGGGUGGCCUUUCUCCGACUUUAAUGUGCACACGAGUCUCCUGGGAUCUUGCUAAUGUAGAGCAGAGGGGACCACAGCCCGAGCCCCCUGCUGCCUCCCAGAGCGAGGCUCUCCUCAUCGUGGACUCACCGCCCUCUGUGUGCCUCGUCCAUCACAUACAUCCUAAGUGUCCCUCCCAGCCUGUGAGCUUCUAGAAGGCAUUGCAACCCGGCACAGGAGCUGACACUUACAAAUAUUCAGGAACAAGCCAACAGGGUCUUCCUCUGUCACCCAGGCUGCAGUGCAGUGGCGCAAUCAUGGCUCACCGCAGCCUCCACCUCCUGGGAUCAAGGGAUCCUCCCACCUCAGCACCCCGAGUAGCUGGGACCACAGGCGGACGCCACAGCAUCUGGCUGUUUGUAUAUUUUGUAGACAGGGUUUCACCAUGUUGGCCAGGCUGGUCUCGAAUUCCUGGGCUCAAAUGAUCCACCUGCCUCAGCCUCCCAAAGUGCUAGGAUUACAGGAGUGACCCACCGUGCCCAGCACCCCCUUUACCUCUGAGCAAUCCAUCUCUCUCCUUGGGGGCACCCCAUGAUCUAGACACCACCCACCUUGUUCUGCCUUGGCCAAAAUACCACCUAACUGCCCCCACCUAUGCCAGGUGCCCCUCACCCACCCUCCUCCACCCUUCGCUGAGUCCCACUUGGCUGGUGCCCAGGACAGGGACAGUCCCAGCCCUUCCAGCCCAUCUCCCCACAUCAGUACACUCCGGAGAGCCAGCCAAGAGUAGAUUCUUUAUUCAUUUCUCUUUUUUUUCUUAAAAAAAAAAGUAUUCAUUUGGUAUAAAAAAUAAAUAUUUUAAAUAUGAC
rnacentral:lncRNA from 10 species